AUUGAACGCUGGCGGCAGGCUUAACACAUGCAAGUCGAGCGGGGAAGGGUAGCUUGCUACCUAACCUAGCGGCGGACGGGUGAGUAAUGCUUAGGAAUCUGCCAUUUAGUGGGGGACAACAUUCCGAAAGGAAUGCUAAUACCGCAUACGUCCUACGGGAGAAAGCAGGGGAUCUUCGGACCUUGCGCUAAAUGAUGAGCCUAAGUCGGAUUAGCUAGUUGGUGGGGUAAAGGCCUACCAAGGCGACGAUCUGUAGUGGGUCUGAGAGGAUGAUCCGCCACACUGGGACUGAGACACGGCCCAGACUCCUACGGGAGGCAGCAGUGGGGAAUAUUGGACAAUGGGCGGAAGCCUGAUCCAGCCAUGCCGCGUGUGUGAAGAAGGCCUUAUGGUUGUAAAGCACUUUAAGCGAGGAGGAGGCUACUUAGAUUAAUACUCUAGGAUAGUGGACGUUACUCGCAGAAUAAGCACCGGCUAACUCUGUGCCAGCCGCCGCAGUAA
rnacentral:rRNA from 1 species